rnacentral:snoRNA from 1 species
CCAUGCUUGGGACAUUACAUGAACUUCCCAUUAAACCUCUCCCAUACCUCAUAUAGAGGUUCUCCAUUCAAUUAAUGAAAAUUGGUGAUUUUGUCACACAAUUG